rnacentral:rRNA from 1 species
AUUGAACGCUGGCGGCAGGCCUAACACAUGCAAGUCGAGCGAGAGGCGGACGGGUGAGUAAUGUAUGGGGACUGCCUGAUGGAGGGGGAUAACUACUGGAACCGGUGGCUAAUACCGCAUACUAUCGGAUAACCCAUAGGGGAUUAGCUAGUAGGGGGGGUAAAGGCACACCUAGGCGACGAUCUCUAGCUGGUCUGAGAGGAUGAUCAGCCACACUGGGACUGAGACACGGCCCAGACUCCUACGGAGGCAGCAGUGGGGAAGAUUGCACAAUGGGCGCAAGCCUGAUGCAGCCAUGCCGCGUGUAUGAAGAAGGCCUUAGGGUUGUAAAGUACUUUCAGCGGGGAGGCGUUACCCGCAGAAGAAGCACCGGCUAACUCCGUGCCAGCAGCCGCGGUAAUUC